CAGAGUUCUGUUUGUCCCUAACUUCUGUUGCUGCUGCAGAAGGUAACAAUGCAACUAUAUGGUGCAAUGGCUCUGCGAAGGAGUUGCCUCCAGACAUCUUUUUGACCUGUGGAGACAGAGCGUGGCAGGGCAUCCCUAGCCAGAUGUUCUGCUACAGACUACAGUUCUUCAGGAAAAGAUCUACUCCAGCAUGGGGUUUCAAGCGGCUGCAGUUCAUCUGGGAAAUAUCCAUCUGCUCCAUCCUGGGUCCUCCAUGAGUGUAGUGGUCAUUCUCAUGAUCUUCACACAUCUGCAGUUCAGACAAACUGAAAAGAAAAAGUUCAGAUCAUGACCAUGACCACUAAAGUGGGCUGCAAAGAAUAUCUGUCCUGGUAUCAUGAGCAUAUCCUACUCCUCCUCUGAGGUACUGCACGUCAUAACAUCAUGUAGUGCACUAGGAUUUAAAGAGUUAACCAAGAGCAUGAUCCUGAGAGAGUCAGGUGUACACUAAAUAUGUGUUGUAUAUUCACAAAGACUGCACCAGAAAGAUAUGCCAGUACGUCUACAGCACUUUAUGGCUGGAGGGGAAAGAAGACCCCUUGUAAAUGAACUGAUUAAUAAACUUCAAGACUUUGAGUUACAUUUAACCUUGUAAUGGCUUGUGUUUCAGCCAUUACAAAAGUAGCUGAAAAACUGGACAGAAUGGAGAGCAAACAAGAAGAUAUAAUGGAUGAACUGUCUAAUGUGUGUUACGCUGAUGGAUCCAUGUUGGCAACAGAUAUGUCCAACAGGGAUCAGGAUUCCCAAAAUAGCCUACUGAAGGGGCUGAUCAAAUUGAUUUCCUCCCAGCCUGCAUUAUCUAACAUCUCAGCUAUCAAAAGAAGAUGUCCUCCUGCUUGAGCAAGUGACAGUAUUAAGACUAUGUCGCAUUUUGCCUUGUGGCGUUACCUACAUGACCAUGGAAAACAUAUGAAGUGUCAUAAAAAAACCCACUCCUGCACUUCAAGCAUGGGUAAAAAAUUACAGGGCAGGUCAACCACCAAGGUGAACUUCCCCAAAAAGGUGAUUGUUCCAGUUGCUGUGGGACACAGCAAUAGCCAUAAGAAUGACAGAGGUAACAAAUAGAGGGACCCUGCCCCCAGCCGGAGGGGGGAAAGGGAUAAUAGAAUGUAUUGCACUGUGUGGAUUAGAGGGCCUGGCACAUUAGAACCACAGAAAUAUAAGGCCCUGGUGGACACUGGUGCACAGUGCAAUCUAAUGCCCUCAAGUCACCAAGGGACAGAAUCAAUUUAUAUUCAUGGGGUGACUGAGGGUUCCCAAGAGUUGACUGUUGGAAGCUGAAAUAAGCCUCACUGGUAAAGACUGCAAAAAAUAUCCUAGUGAGACUGGCCCAGGGGCUCCCUGUAUACUUGAUAUUGAUUACCUCAGAAGGGGAUAUUUUAAUGAUUCCAAGUGGUAUCAAUGGGCCUUUGGAAUAGCUGCUGGAGACAGAGAAGGUGUUAAACAGCUGUCUGUUUUGCCUGGCCUAUCAGAAGAUCUGUCUGUUGUGGGGUUGCUAAGAGUGAAAAAGCAACAGAUACUGAUUGCUAUAAAAUGGUACACAGAUAGCAGUACCACGCUAACAGGGAUUCCUUGCUCCCCAUUCAUAAGAUGAUUCAUCAACUAGAGAGUCAGGGAGUGAUCAGUAAAACUCACUCACCUUUUAAUAGUCCCAUAUGGCCAGUGCGUAAAACCAGUGCAGAACGGAGGCUGAUGGUAGACUACUGUGGCCUGAAUGAAGUCACACCCCCACUGAGUGCUGCUGUACCAGAUACGUUAGAACUCCAAUAUGAACUGGAGUCAAAAGCAGCCAAACGAUAUGCCACCACUGAGCAGAAGUGUAAUUCUGUGUGAGGUCCUGAGCAGCAACAGGCUUUUGAGCAGAUUAAGGAGGAGAUAGCCCGUGCCAUGGCCUUGGGGCUAGUACAGAUGGGACAGGAUGUAAAGAACAACCUCUACACUGCUGCUGGAGAGAAAGGUCCCACCUGGAGUUUGUGGCAAAGAGCCUCAGGAGAGAUCCAAGGCCGACCCCUGGGAUUCUAGAGUCAAGCAUACAGGGGGUCUGAGGAGUGCUACACUCCAACUGAAAAGGAGAUCUUAGCCGCGUAUGAGGGGGUUUGGGCUGCUUGCGAAGUAAUUGGUACUGAAACACAGCUCCUUCUGGCACCACAGCUGUCAAUGUUGAACUGGAUGUUCAAGGGAAAGGUUCCCUCUACCCAUCAUGCUACUGAUGCCACUUGGAGUAAGUGGAUUGUGCUGAUUACGCAACGGGCUCGCAUGGGGAACCUCAGCCAUCCAGGAAUCCUAGAGGUGAUCAUGGACUGGCCUGAAGGUAAAAAGUUUGGAACAUCACCAGCAGAGAGGUAUUGCAAGCUAAAGAGGCCCCACCAUACAAUGAAUUACCAGAAAAUGAAAAGAAAUAUGCCCUGUUCACAGAUGGAUCGUGUCGUAUUGUGAGGAAGCACCGCAGAUGGAAGGCUGCUGUGUGGAGCCCCACACGACAAGUUGCAGAGGCCACUGAAGGAAAAGAAGAAUCAAGCCAAUUUGCAGUGCUAAGGCUGUCCAUUUGGCCUUAGAUGUUGAUGAAUGGGAGAGGUGGCCAAUGCUUUAUACUGACUCAUGGAUGGUGGCAAUUACCUUGUAUGGGUGGUUACAACAGUGGGAAAAAAACAACUGGCAAAGAAGGGGUAAACCUAUUUGGACUGCUGAACUGUGGAAAGACAUUGCUGCCCGAAUAAAGAAUUUGGUUGUAAAAGUGUGUCAUGCAGAUGCUCACGUGCGCAAAAGUCAGGCUACUGAAGAACAACAAAAUAACCAUCAGGUAGAUCAAGCUGCCAGAAUUAAGGUGGCUCAAAUAGACUUGGACUGGUAGAACAAGGGUGAAUUAUUUCUAUCUUGGUGGGACCGUGAGAUAUGCAACAUAUAAAUGGGCUAGAGAUUUAACUAUGGAUGCUAUUGCACAGGUUAUUUGUGCUUGUGACACAUGCGUCACAAUUAAACAAGCCAAAAGGAUGAAACCUCUCUAUGGGGAAGGGUGAUGACAAAAGUGUAAAUAUGGGGAGGUGUGGCAGAUUGACAAUAUCACCUUGCCACAGUCUCUCAAUGGGAAGUGUUACAUGCUUACCAUGGUGGAGGCAACCACUGGGUGGUUUGAAACAUAUGCAGUACCCCAUGCUACUACCCAAAACACCAUAUUAAGUCUCAAGAAACAAGUCCUGUGGCAACAUGACACUCCAGAAAGAAUUGAGUCAGAUAAUGGGACUCAUUUCAAAAAUUCUCUUGUAAAUACUUGGGUCAAAGAUCAUGGCAUUGAGUGGAUCUAUCAUACUCCCUAUCAUGCACCAACUUCUGGUAAAAUCAAUCAAUACAGUGGGUUGUUAAAAAAAUUGCUUUUUUUUUUUUUUUUUUUUUUUUUUUUAAAGCAAUGGGUAGAGGAACAUUUAAGCACUGGGAGAAGCAUUUGGCAGAAGCCACUUGGUUGGUCAACACUCGAGGAUCUAUCAGUUGCAAUGGUCCUGCCAGCUCCCUACAUACUGUCAAGGGAGAUACGGUCCCUGUAGUAUAUGUAAAGAUCAUGGUGGGAAAAGCGGUUUGGGUCUUUCCAGCUUCUGGGAAGGGCAAACCUCUUCACGGAACUGUUUUUGCCCAGGGACCUGGGUCCACUUGGUGGGUGAUGCAGAAAGAUGGGGAUGUUCAGUGUGUACCAGAAGGGAAUUUGAUGCUGGGGGAGUGCAGUCAGUAAUUCCAUGUGUACAUAUAUAUAGGUUUGUGUGUGCAUGUGUUUAAUGCUUGUUAAUUUUCUUUUGCUUGUAUAUAUUAAGCAUGAUGUAGUGAUGUAGAAUAAAGGGUGGAAUGUCAUGGUUUUGUGAUUUUUGGUUACUGGCAUUCAACAUCAUAACAUCAUGUAGUGCACUGGGAGUUAACAUGUUAAUGCUCCAGUUCCAGGCACCUGUCCGGAAGAGAAGGACUACAAACCCCAGGGGGCUUUGCAGUCAGAGAGGAGAUAUAGCCUCUGGCAAGGUCACCUUAUGUCCCUCUUUUCCCUUGGCUCUCCUCCCUGUUGCUCAUCCCGAAUACACGCAUCGCCUCAGCACUACUGUGAGGCCUACAGCUUUCACAUGCUCUCUC
ensembl:lncRNA